GCCACCCGGGGGAUGGUCUAGAGCAUCGCAUUCGUAAUGCGGGGGUCGCGUGUUCGAGUCACGCAGGCGGCACCA
rnacentral:tRNA from 1 species